rnacentral:rRNA from 1 species
AUUGAACGCUGGCGGCAUGCUUUACACAUGCAAGUCGAACGGUAACAGGCCGCAAGGUGCUGACGAGUGGCGAACGGGUGAGUAAUGCAUCGGAACGUGCCCAGUCGUGGGGGAUAACGCAGCGAAAGCUGUGCUAAUACCGCAUACGAUCUAUGGAUGAAAGCGGGGGACCGUAAGGCCUCGCGCGAUUGGAGCGGCCGAUGUCAGAUUAGGUAGUUGGUUGGGUAAAGGCUCACCAAGCCAACGAUCUGUAGCUGGUCUGAGAGGACGACCAGCCAGACUGGGACUGAGACACGGCCCAGACUCCUACGGGAGGCAGCAGUGGGGAAUUUUGGACAAUGGGCGCAAGCCUGAUCCAGCAAUGCCGCGUGCAGGAAGAAGGCCUUCGGGUUGUAAACUGCUUUUGUACGGAACGAAAAGGUUUGGGUUAAUACCCUGGGCCGAUGACGGUACCGUAAGAAUAAGCACCGGCUAACUACGUGCCAGCAGCCGCGGUAA